GGUACUCGAGUGGCGAACGGGUGAGUAACACGUGGGUGAUCUGCCUUGCACUUCGGGAUAAGCUUGGGAAACUGGGUCUAAUACCGGAUAGGACAGCUGUUUAGUGUCAGUUGUGGAAAGUUUUUUCGGUGCAAGAUGAGCUCGCGGCCUAUCAGCUUGUUGGUGGGGUAAUGGCCUACCAAGGCGUCGACGGGUAGCCGGCCUGAGAGGGUGUACGGCCACAUUGGGACUGAGAUACGGCCCAGACUCCUACGGGAGGCAGCAGUGGGGAAUAUUGCACAAUGGGCGGAAGCCUGAUGCAGCGACGCCGCGUGGGGGAUGAAGGCCUUCGGGUUGUAAACUCCUUUCGACAGGGACGAAGCGUAAGUGACGGUACCUGUAUAAGAAGCACCGGCUAACUACGUGCCAGCAGCCGCGGUAAUACGUAGGGUGCGAGCGUUGUCCGGAAUUACUGGGCGUAAAGAGCUCGUAGGUGGUUUGUCGCGUCGUCUGUGAAAUUCCGGGGCUUAACUCCGGGCGUGCAGGCGAUACGGGCUGACUUGAGUGCUGUAGGGGAGACUGGAAUUCCUGGUGUAGCGGUGAAAUGCGCAGAUAUCAGGAGGAACACCGACGGCGAAGGCAGGUCUCUGGGCAGUAACUGACGCUGAGGAGCGAAAGCAUGGGUAGCGAACAGGAUUAGAUACCCUGGUAGUCCAUGCCGUAAACGGUGGGCGCUAGGUGUAGGGGGCUUCCACGUCUUCUGUGCCGUAGCUAACGCAUUAAGCGCCCCGCCUGGGGAGUACG
rnacentral:rRNA from 1 species